UCUAAUACUAAAGUAUCAAGAAAGCGGGCUGGGCCACAGGGAUCAGGAUUCUGGGCUGUAAAUUCUGGUUUCUCUUUCUUUGCUAUGUGAGGACACAGAAAACCGGGAGGAGGGUUCUCAUCAGGAACCAAAUCUGUCAGAAUGUUGAUCUUGGACUUCUUAGCCUCUAGAGUGCCCAAGCAAUGCUCCAAACUUUCAGAAAACUGAGAGAGACAGGAUGUUUUCUGCUGUGAAUAAGUAUGUUCCAAAGAAGAUUCCACUGUCAUUUUUAAGAGAAAGUGGCUACAUUUAAAAUGAGGCUUGUUUGAUGUAGGUCUUGUGAUGGGUAAUAAAUGGUUUAGCAUGUAAUCUCACAGCUCCUUGUGGCAGAUUUUUAAGUACUGUACUUGCAGAUGACCUUUUCCAGAGGUAAAUUGCAUAUAAGGGGCUGUAAGUGCCACAUUUAAUAA